rnacentral:rRNA from 1 species
AUGUCCGCCGCCACCGCCGCCGAAUCCCAGGAGCGGCGGCGAUCGGAGGCCGUCGCGUGGCUGCGCGCGCUGCUCCGGGAGUCGGCGCUGCCGCUCCCGCCGCCGCGCGCCUCGGACGACGAGCUCCGGGCCGCGCUCGCGGACGGCGCGCUGCUCCGCGCCGCGCUCGACAAGCUCGGCCGCCCCUCUUCCCCGCGCGACGAGGGCGGACCGGCGGCGGCGGAGCGCGAUGUCGGGCGGUUCCUCGCGGCCGUGGAGCGGAUGGGCCUCCCCAGCUUCGCGCCCUCGGACCUCCAGACGGGCCCGAUGUCAGCUGUGGUUGCCUGUCUUCUUGCACUAAGGGAUCAGUUUGUCUCCCAUGCUGGGGAAGGCUGGACCUGUGGCCUUCCACAAAAUGGGAGGAUGCACACCAUGGGAUUUCCCGGAAGGGAGAAUGGCCAGGUCACACAAAAUUCUGAAGCAAGAGAAGAUGGCAAACAAAUGGAAACAACGCUACAAAAGGCCUCCAGAAGUCCAGCCAUGUCAGAACCAUCAUCUGUUAUAUCACGGCCUGAACUAUCUUCUACAUCGCGGCAUGCUGGACGCAAUUUUCAUGAAGUCUUCCAACUGAGGCAAGGAGGUUAUUCUGAUCUGCCUAGUUCUAAAAUUUCAGAUAUGAUGAAAUCCACCAGCUUGGAUAAUGCCCCUACCCAGUCACUUCUGAGUGUUGUGAAUGGCAUCCUCGAUGAGAUUAUUGAGAGGAAGAAUGGUGAAAUUCCUUAUCAUCUCGCUUUCUUGUUGAGAAAGAUCGUAUUGGAGGUUGAACGACGAAUUUCUACGCAGGCAGAGCACAUAAGAAAUCAAAAUAACCUUAUGAAAGCACGUGAAGAGAAAUACAAAUCAAGGAUAAGAGUUUUAGAGGCACUAGCCAGUGGGAAAAUACAUGUAAGCUCAAAUGCAACAAAUGGAAAAGCACAUGUUGCUGCAGAGCCUGUGCACCAGAUGAAGAUGGAGAAAGACAAAUUUGAAGAGAAAAAGCAAUUACUUGAGGAAGAUCUGACAAAGCUGACGAAGGACAAGGAAAGUGUAACUAGAAUGACAAAGGAUAAGGAAGAUAUGGCUAGAUUUUUGAAUGACAAGGAAGACAUAAUUAGAUUGAUGAAAGAGAAGGAAGAAAUGGCUAGAUUAAUGAAAGAGAAGGAAGACACGGUUAGCUUGAAGAAAGGCAAGGAUGGAGAUAGAAAUCAAUCAGCAGAUGAACAUAUAGCUAAGCCAAUUAUGUAUAAAGAUGAACUCAUCAGUUUGAUGAAGGAGAAAGAAAACUAUAAAGUUACAAUUAUGAAAUUGAAGUUAGAAUUAGAAGCUAUGAAAUCAUCAUGUGAAAAGAGCCACAGCCUGUUGGAAACUAAGAACGAGGAUGUACUUAAUCUUCUAAAGGAUAAAGAGAACAGCGGCAACAUAAUAUCACAACUCAGGCAAGAGCUUGCCACGGCAAGAAGAUCACAUGAGACAUAUAUUCAAGAUUUGAAGACUACGGCUCUGCAGGAAAACAGGGAUUUUGAACAAAGGAUAAAAGAAGUGGAGCUAAAGCUAGAAGAUUCUACUAAGAGAGGAAGACAUCUUGAAGAAUUGUUGGAAUCAAGAAUCAAAACCUGGGAGCGAAAGGAAAUCAUGCUGAACCAAUUUGUAGGUGUACAAAUGCAGAAUAUUCAGGAUUUGAGGUUGUCUUCUGUUUCCAUUAGGCAUGAAAUCCAAAACUGCCAGAAGAGAUGGUCUGAAGAACUUAGUGGCCUUGGGCAAAGCCUUAAAGUAUUAGCGAAUGCUUCAGAGAAGUAUCAUGCUACUCUUGAAGAAAACAGAAAAUUGUUCAACGAGGUUCAGGAGCUAAAAGGAAAUAUCAGAGUCUUUUGCCGGAUAAGACCUUUUCUUUGUAACGAGGAUCAUAAGUCUAGUACAACUGAAAUUACUGGUGAUAACGGUGAACUCAUUUUAGCAAACCCUGCAAAAAUUGGAAAAGAGGGGAAUAAGUUGUUUAAAUUUAACAAAGUUCUUGGCCCCACUACUUCUCAAGAUGAGGUAUUCAAGGACAUUCAACCACUAGUUAGAUCAGUCCUUGAUGGCUAUAAUGUUUGCAUUUUUGCGUAUGGACAAACUGGAUCAGGAAAAACCUACACAAUGACUGGACCUGAAGCUGCUACUGAGGAGGAAUUGGGUGUCAAUUUUAGAGCUCUGAACGACCUGUUCCUUAUAUCACGCAAUCGAGGAGAUACAUUCAAUUAUGAAGUUAGUGUUCAAAUGAUUGAAAUAUACAACGAACAAAUCCAUGAUCUCUUGGGAAGCAAUGGUUCAGAGAAGAAUCUAGGGAUUUUGAAUUCCAGCCUUCCCAAUGGGCUUGCUGUUCCUGAUGCAACAUUGCAUCCCGUCAACUCAACGACCGAUGUUAUUGAGUUAAUGAGAACAGGACUUGGGAACCGAUCUGUGGGUGCUACAGCACUGAACGAGCGAAGCAGCAGAUCUCACAGUGUUGUCACUGUACACGUUCAAGGUGUAGAUUUGAAAACUGGAGCUACUUUGCGCGGGGCCCUCCAUCUUGUUGAUCUUGCUGGAAGUGAAAGGGUGGACCGUUCUGCUGUUACAGGCGAUAGACUCAAAGAAGCACAACAUAUCAAUAAAUCUCUGUCUGCUCUUGGAGAUGUUAUAUUUUCUUUAUCACAGAAGACUUCUCAUGUACCAUACCGGAACAGCAAACUUACACAAGUCCUGCAGAGUUCUUUGGGUGGCCAUGCAAAGACCCUCAUGUUUGUGCAGAUCAAUCCAGAUGUGUCAUCUUAUGCAGAGAGUUUAAGUACUUUGAGGUUUGCUGAAAGGGUUUCGGGAGUGGAACUAGGUGCUGCAAAGGCAAAUAAAGAGGGCAAACAUAUAAGAGAAUUUAAGGAACAGCUCUCACUGCUCAAAGAUAAAAUUGCAAAGAAGGAUGAGGAAAUCAACCAGCUACAGACUCACAGUCCAAGGGUAAAGACGGGCAAACGGGUUGAUUCCUUGCUGAAACAUUCGUCCUCCUCCCCAGGCAUAUCCUCCCUGGGAAGCAAAAUACAACAUCGAAGAACGGCAUCUGGUGGAAAGGCGAUGGGCCUUAUCAGUAGGGCAGGCUCCGAUGCUGAUAACUUCUCUGAGAUCAGUGACAGGCAUUCUGAAACUAGCUCUAUGCAGUCGGUUGAUGAUAUCCAGCAGCAGAGGGAGAUUAUGGUACUUUCCAAGCUCCCUGAAGAUGAGAUGGGUUCGAAUUCAGCUGAUCCUGAGCUUGCCAGCUUUGGUUACGCCGAUUCAGAGGGGAGGUUAAGCGAUAUAUCAGAUAGUGGCAUAUCCAUGGGUACAGAAACCGACGGCUCGAUAAGUAGCAUGGUUGACUUUGCUCUCUUCCCGGAGCAGGAAAAAAUAGCUAGCGCAUGGAAAGAACAAGAAAAUGCACCCAACACACCAAAAGAUCGACUACCUAAGGUGACCACUCGAGUACAAAAGGCAACAACACCAAAAACAGCUCCAUCUUCUAGUGUGUGGCCCAAAUCAAGAGAUUCUACUCCUAGAUCUUCAGCAUCAGCAAGCACACGAAGAAGCACAAUUACACAAGCAACAUCCUCACCAAGAACCUCGAAUACUCCGAAGCGAUGGAAUUAG